rnacentral:rRNA from 1 species
AAUCACUUGUUCUUUAAAUGGGGACUAGUAUCAACGGCAUCACGAGGGCUUCACUGUCUCCUUUUUCCAAUCAGUGAAACUGAUCUCCCCGUGAAGAAGCGGGAAUCACACUAUAAGACGAGAAGACCCCAUGGAGCUUUAAACCCAAUAACAUCCCUAACCUUCUUUCCCACUAAAGUUUUUCAGCUCUGUCUAUUGGUUUUAGGUUGGGGCGACCGCGGAGUAAAACACAACCUCCACAACGCAUGGAACUAACACCACAUCCGAGAGCCACCUCUCAAAGAAUCAACAAAUUGACGUAAAUGAUCCAAUUAUUUUGAUCAAUGAACCAAGUUACCCUGGGGAUAACAGCGCAAUCCAUUUCAAGAGCUCCUAUCGACAAGU